GUGACAUGCUUUUCCAUAAACCAUUUUAUAUGGAGACAUACCCAUAGGAUUUUUAUAUGCAGUUCUAUAGGCCCAUAAUGCAUCAUCAAGUUUCUUGGACCAAUUCAUUCUAGAUCUAUUAACAGUCUUUUGCAAAAUUAAUUUGAGCUCUCUAUUACUCAAUUCUACUUGACCACUAGACUGUGGAUGAUAAGGAGAUGCAAUUCUAUGAUUAAGGUGAGGUAAUAGCUUACCAAGGAGAUGAUCAGUAGCUGGUCCGAGAGGAUGAUCAAACACACUGGGACUGAGGCACGGCCUAGACUCCUACGGAAGGCAGCUCUAGGGAAUUUUCCGCAAUGGGCGAAAGCCUGACGGAGCAAUGCCGCGUGGAGGUGGAAGGCCUACGGGUCGUCAACUUCUUUUCUCGGAGAAGAAACAAUGACGGUAUGAAUCGGGUUGAAAGUGAAAGUCGCCAAAAAGUGGCGGAAUGCUCUCGAAACCAAUUCAC
rnacentral:ncRNA from 1 species